rnacentral:rRNA from 1 species
AUACGGAGGGGGCUAGCGUUGUUCGGAAUUACUGGGCGUAAAGGGCGCGUAGGUGGUUUUAUCAGUCAGGCGUGAAAGCCUCGGGCUCAACCCGAGAACUGCGUUUGAUACUGUAGAACUAGAGUCCGGUAGGGGAAAGUAGAAUUCCUAGUGUAGAGGUGAAAUUCGUAGAUAUUAGGAGGAAUACCUGAGGCGAAGGCGGCUUUCUGGACCGAUACUGACGCUGAGAUACGAAAGCGUGGGGAGCAAACAGGAUUAGAAACCCCAGUAGUCC